rnacentral:misc_RNA from 1 species
GUUUAAUAGAAUUGGAAAAUUGGAGGAGUGUUCUUCUUUCAGAUGCCAAAAUAAUAGCAUGCAUGUGUGAUUUAAAUGUAAGAUCUAAAUAAAUCACAGGUUUGUAUGAUACUCUGACUGUUUAGUGACUACAACAUUUCAGCUCAAUAGUGAUGAUUAUCUAGAGUUUUAUAACUGUAUUAAUUAAUUAAUCUGGUUGUAGUGCAAAGUUAAUCUAAUCAUUCAAUGGGUUAGAUGGUUCAUAAAUGCUGUGUUCUGGCUUUUUAAAAGGUGAAAGUAAAUACCUAUAAUUGUUGGAUGAAAGAUACCCUUCCCAACAGGCUUGCAGCCUUACUUACUGUUAGAGAAACGGGGAGAAUCCUUCUUGAUGAGUCUUGUGAAAUAAUACACUCUUAGGCUUGACACCACAUGUAAUCCAA